rnacentral:rRNA from 1 species
GCACUUUAAGCAGUGAAGAAGACUCUGUGGUUAAUACCCACAGACGAUGACAUUAGCUGCAGAAUAAGCACCGGCUAACUCUGUGCCAGCAGCCGCGGUAAUACAGGGGGUGCAAGCGUUAAUCGGAAUUACUGGGCGUAAAGGGAGCGUAGGUGGCUCGAUAAGUCAGAUGUGAAAUCCCCGGGCUCAACCUGGGAACUGCAUCUGAUACUGUCGUGCUAGAGUAUGUGAGAGGAAGGUAGAAUUCCAGGUGUAGCGGUGAAAUGCGUAGAGAUCUGGAGGAAUACCGAUGGCGAAGGCAGCCUUCUGGCAUAAUACUGACACUGAGGCUCGAAAGCGUGGGUAGCAAACAGGAUUAGAUACCCUGGUAGUCCACGCCGUAAACGAUGUCUACUAGUCGUUGG